rnacentral:rRNA from 1 species
AGUGAACGCUGGCGGUAGGCCUAACACAUGCAAGUCGAACGGCAGCACAGUAAGAGCUUGCUCUUACGGGUGGCGAGUGGCGGACGGGUGAGGAAUACAUCGGAAUCUACUUUUUCGUGGGGGAUAACGUAGGGAAACUUACGCUAAAACCGCAUACGACCUACGGGUGAAAGCAGGGGAUCUUCGGACCUUGCGCGAUUGAAUGAGCCGAUGUCGGAUUAGCUAGUUGGCGGGGUAAAGGCCCACCAAGGCGACGAUCCGUAGCUGGUCUGAGAGGAUGAUCAGCCACACUGGAACGGAGACACGGUCCAGACUCCUACGGGAGGCAGCAGUGGGGAAUAUUGGACAAUGGGCGCAAGCCUGAUCCAGCCAUACCGCGUGGGUGAAGAAGGCCUUCGGGUUGUAAAGCCCUUUUGUUGGGAAAGAAGAGCAGCAGGUUAAUACCCCGCUGUUCUGACGGUACCCAAAGAAUAAGCACCGGCUAACUUCGUG